UACGUAGGGUGCAAGCGUUAUCCGGAAUUAUUGGGCGUAAAGAGCUCGUAGGCGGUUUGUCGCGUCUGCUGUGAAAACUCGAGGCUCAACCUCGAGAUGUCGGCGGAAACCACUUGGCUAGAGUCCGGAAGAGGAGAGUGGAAUUCCUGGUGUAGCGGUGAAAUGCGCAGAUAUCAGGAAGAACACCUAUGGCGAAGGCAGCUCUCUGGGACGGUACUGACGCUGAGACGCGAAAGCGUGGGGAGCGAACAGG
rnacentral:rRNA from 1 species